AAGAUACAAUAGAAUACAGUAUAUACUGUAGCGACCCGCACAGACAGCUGUGUGUUAGGCAAGUAGGUGGUUGUGUUGUACUUACCAGUACCCAGUGUUCGCGGGGUCCGACAUGCCAAUCAAUCUGCUAUCUACCAAUCACGGGAAUGUUCUGAUGCCGGGCAUCCUGGCGGUUGGCGGAGUAGCGUGGAGGGGGGUUGGGCAGGGGGAUGGAGCAUUGGAAGUUAAGACCAGGUUUAGCCUUUGUUCUCUCUCUUACGUCUGGGCUUCACAAGAGAAGGUCACGGUUGGCUUGUGGGUUAUCUUUCAUUUAUUUGGCGUGGGCUACGGCCAAACAGUAGCCUGUGUAAAGUUGAUUUAAUAAACCAUCAAUUCAUUAACUCAAUCCUCUGUCUGGACAAUUGUUCCUUUAUGAUCUAGUCAGGUCAUUAAAAUACAUACGAGAUAAGUAAUGCAGUAAACCUUAUUAGUGACUAGUGUUCCAUUUAUUAAAAUGGCCAGGGAUUUCAAGUCUUGUGUGUUGGCAGCAGCCUCUCUGUUAGAUGGCUGUUUAACAGUGAUGUCCUUGAGUUUCAGUCUCUCGAUCCCAGCUUUGAUGCACCUGAACUGACCUCGUCUUCUGGAUGAUAGUGGGGUGAACAGGCAGUGGCGCCGGUGGUUGUUGUCCUUGAUGAUCUUUUUGGCCUUCCUGUGACAUCGGAUGCUUUAGGUGUCCUGGAGGGCAGGUAGUUUGCCCCCGAUGAUGCGUUGGACAAACCGAACCACACUCUGGAGAGCCCAGCGGUUGCGGGCGGUGCAGAUUUUCAGCCUGUUGUCAAAACAGUAACUCUGCCACUCAGGAACAUUCACUAUCUUCUUGGAAAACGAUGAAGUCUUGAUAGCAGAAUUUGGUUGAAAGGGACAUUCCGAUGGUGAUAUUCCUGGUGUCUGCUUCAAGGUGGUCAAAGUAGCCAAUGUCUCACUACUGGCCCUUUACAAGGGCAAGAAAGAAAGACUUCGAUCAUAGAAAAUGUGUACACUCAAAGAAAAAAUGGAAGCCAUUUCUAUUAUGAGGAUAUGAAUUCUGAAAUGUGUAAAAUGUCGUAGACAUGUAAAUGUUUUAUUUCUGUAGGGUUAAUAGUUAGCAUAAAACAUGUGGUAGACAACUAUAAAGGAGCUGUAUAGCCUCUCGCUCUUUUUUUGUGUUGUUGCAAUGCAAAGUAUUCUAAAUGUUUGUACCUUUAAAUCUCCCUGCAUAAAUUGCAAUGCAUGAUAACUGGUACCCAGUCUUUUUAGCUAAUAUUCCACUCCACUGCCUAAAGGCCAAUCUCAACUUUCUAUAUGCAGCUGGAUUUGAGACUGAUUGGUUGUUGGCAAUAACAUUAUUUUCCAUGAUAUGUGGAGCCUCAAAUAGAAUUAUAGGCAAAUUGUUGUAUUUUGUGGUUGGAAUUGCAGUAUGUACAUGUAUAUAUUUUGUUUCAGUACCAAUCAAAUGUUUGGACACCUACUCGUUCCACUUUUUUUCCCUUUUUUUGUGCUAUUUUCUACAUUGUGAAGACAUCAAUGAUGAAAUGACA